AAAACAGAGAGAGACGAGAAUGAAGGGGGAGGGGAGCGGCUGUAGGAGAAGAAGAAAAGGGAGAGGAAUUUGGUUUGGGCUUAGGGCUUGCAGUUGGGCCGAUUUAUUGGGCCGAAAUUAUUUUAUUUAGUGGGCCGAGUUUUGUUUAUUAAAUCAGUUGGGCUCUUGGUUUUAAUAAUUGUGCUGGGCCUUAAUUCAAUUAUUUAAUAGAUGGCCCUAUUAUUGUUUAAUUAAAUUGAGCUUUCUUAUUUUUAAUUAAUUGAACUAUUAUUAGUUUGAUUAAUUUAUUUAAAGGAUAAUUUUCAUAAUAAUAUUAAAUUAUUAUUAUGUGCAUAUUUUAAGUAAAUUACUUAUUAUAUGCUAAGCAUGACAUGAUAUUGCAUUAUAUUUUGCAAUAAAAGUAUUUAUGAUUUAAUUGGUUUUAUUUAUAAUUCCAAUUAUUUAAGAAAAUCGAGUAAGGAUAUUGUUGGUGUCCUUAACUCAAGAAUUUUAGUUUUCAAUUAUUAUUCAUUAAAUUUUUGAAAACCCGGCGUGAUAAAUCAUAGUAGUUAAGUGCACCCACUAAGACUUUAAGUUAGCUUUACGAGACCUAUUAAGAAUAGAAUUUCUUGUAGGCUUUGUGACCAGGGGGAUUAGCGCUGCUUUCCCAAGACAGGUUUAUAUGUGAUUAUGAUCUUCAGGCUUUGCCUAACCAGGUUGGCUGGCUGGUGCUGACGGGACGGAGCUGAGGCUAGAGUUAAAAUUCAUAUGUUAGACUUCCGCUGUAGCAAUUACUCUUAUACAUCUUUUGUUUUCUCAACUUAAGAUGACUUCAUGUCGAGCUUAAAUUUGAAAUUCUAGUUUUAUGCUAAUGAAUGUUGGUUGUCAGAAACAUGAAACAAAACUUGUGAUCCAAAGGGGCAUAGCCCGACUUUCUAUCCUAUUUUGGGUUUUAACGAGGUA